rnacentral:rRNA from 1 species
GAGUUUGAUCUUGGCUCAGAUUGAACGCUGGCGGCAUGCCUUACACAUGCAAGUCGAACGGCAGCAUGAUCUAGCUUGCUAGAUUGAUGGCGAGUGGCGAACGGGUGAGUAAUACAUCGGAACGUGCCCUGUAGUGGGGAUAACUAGUCGAAAGAUUAGCUAAUACCGCAUACGACCUGAGGGUGAAAGUGGGGGACCGCAAGGCCUCAUGCUAUAGGAGCGGCCGAUGUCUGAUUAGCUAGUUGGUGGGUAAAGGCCCACCAAGGCGACGACCAGUAGCUGGUCUGAGAGGACGAUCAGCCACACUGGGACUGAGACACGGCCCAGACUCCUACGGGAGGCAGCAGUGGGGAAUUUUGGACAAUGGGCGAAAGCCUGAUCCAGCAAUGCCGCGUGUGUGAAGAAGGCCUCGG